rnacentral:rRNA from 1 species
GAUGAACGCUGGCGGCGUGCCUAAUACAUGCAAGUCGAGCGAACAGACGCGGCGCUUGCUCCUCUGACGUUAGCGGCGGACGGGUGAGUCACACGUGGAUAACCUACCUAUAAGACUGGGAUAACUUCGAGAAACCGGAGCUAAUACCGGAUAAUAUAUUGAACCGCAUGGUUCAAUAGUGAAAGACGGUUUUGCUGUCACUUAUAGAUGGAUCCGCGCCGCAUUAGCUAGUUGGUAAGGUAACGGCUUACCAAGGCAACGAUGGGUAGCCGACGUGCAAGGGUGAACGGCCACACUGGAACUGGGACGCGGUCCAGACUCCUACGGGCGGCAGCGGUAGGGAAGGUUCGGCAAUGGGGGGAAGCCUGACGGAGCGACGCCGCGCGGGUGAUGAAAGUCUUCGGAGCGUAAAACUCUGUUAGGAGUGAAGAACAAUUGUGUAAGGAACGAUGCACGUCUUGACGGUACCUAGUCAGGAAGCCACGGCUAACUACGUG